GGAAUUCAAGUCAUAAGUAAGGAAAUAAAAGGAAGAAGCUGGGGCCUUGGAACUGGCCAGCUUACUAGGGCAGAGAAGCAGCUGGGAGGUUACCCCUGGGCUCAGGGCAGAUUCCAGCAGUACUGGACAGAACAUUAGUUUUAUAGCCCUGUGAUGAAUCCAGGGACAGAGUACCCGGAGCUGUUUCCUCAGACAUGCACUGGCCCAGGGCCUGCCCCUGGUUUAGCCUUGAACAGAGGAGCCAACAGAGGGGGAAGCACCCACUUCCUGCUCAGAGAGGGGCACGUUUCUGUGGGGCGAUUCUGCACUGUCCUUUUCUGCCUUGUCACAGUUGCAGCAUGUGGGAUCUGGUUCCCUGACCAGAGAGCAUGGAGUCUUAGCUGCUGGACCACCAGGGAGGUCCCUGCUCUCUGUGACCUUGACUGAUAUUACUUGGCACCUUCCAACUUGGUGAAUCAACUUGCACGACUUGAAGGAUCUAGGUUCCCCGACCCGCGGCAGUGAAAACCUGGAAUUCUAAGCACUAGGCAAGCGGGGAACUCCCCUGACCAUGGAUUUUAAUCAUACCUGCAAACUAUCUUCAAAGUAGUACCCAUACUAGUGUUUGAUUGAGCAACUGGAGAUUGUAGCCUAGCCAAACUGACACAUAAAACUGACCAUCACAAGUAUGAUGGUAUUAUGGGUAUGUGCAAAAACAUCUUUGUUCUCAGAAGAUACAGCUUGAAAAAGUUAAGGUAAAGUGUCAUGAUGUCUGCAAUUUAUGCUCACCUCGUUUACAAAAUGCACAUAUGGAGAGAGCAAAUGGCAAAAGGUUAAUACUUGCAAUGUAGAUGGAGGGUAUAUGAGGGUUCACUGUAUUAUUAUUUCAACUUUUCUGUUUGCCUGAAAGCUGUCAAAAUAAAAUUCAUGAGCUAAAGUA